rnacentral:rRNA from 1 species
AAGUCUGACCUGCCCACUGAAAUUUUUAAAUGGCCGCAGUAUUCUAACUGUGCAAAGGUAGCAUAAUCAUUAGUCUUUUAAUUGAAGGCUGGUAUGAAUGGUUGGACGAGGUAUAAGCUGUUUCAUAUAAAUUUAUAAUAGAAUUUUAUAUUUUAGUCAAAAAGCUAAAAUUUAAUUAAAAGACGAGAAGACCCUAUAAAUCUUUAUACUUUACGUUGUUUAAAUUUUUUAGAUUGGUUUUAUUUUUAUAGUUUAAAGUAUUUUGUUGGGGUGAUGUUAAAAUUUAAUGAACUUUUAAUUAUUAAAAAUCAUUAAUUUAUGAUUUAUUGAUCCAUUAGUAGUGAUUAUAAGAUUAAGUUACUUUAGGGAUAACAGCGUAAUUUUUUUGGAGAGUUCAUAUCGAUAAAAAAGUUUGCGACCUCGAUGUUGGAUUAAGAUAUAUUUUUAGGUGUAGCCGCUUAAAU